rnacentral:sRNA from 1 species
CCUGGGGCUUUGCCCCAGGCUGGGAUGAGGCGGGCCUUUGGCCCU